GGCCAGACUCCUACGGGAGGCAGCAGUGGGGAAUAUUGCACAAUGGGCGAAAGCCUGAUGCAGCGACGCCGCGUGAGUGAAGAAGUAUUUCGGUAUGUAAACUUCUAUCAGCAGGGAAGAAAAUGACGGUACCUGACUAAGAAGCCCCGGCUAACUACGUGCCAGCAGCCGCGGUAAUACGUAGGGGGCAAGCGUUAUCCGGAUUUACUGGGUGUAAAGGGAGCGUAGACGGCAUGGCAAGUCUGGUGUGAAAGGCAGGGGCUCAACCCCUGGACUGCAUUGGAAACUGUCAGGCUGGAGUGCAGGAGAGGUAAGUGGAAUUCCUAGUGUAGCGGUGAAAUGCGUAGAUAUUAGGAGGAACACCAGUGGCGAAGGCGACUUACUGGACUGUAACUGACGUUGAGGCUCGAAAGCGUGGGGAGCAAACAGGAUUAGAUACCCUGGUA
rnacentral:rRNA from 1 species